CACGUAGUUAGCCGGGGCUUCCUCCAAGGGUACCGUCAUUUUCUUCUUCCCCUAGGACAGAGCUUUACAAUCCGAAGACCUUCUUCGCUCACGCGGCGUUGCUGCAUCAGGCUUUCGCCCAUUGUGCAAUAUUCCCCACUGCUGCCUCCCGUAGGAGUUUGGACCGUGUCUCAGUUCCAAUGUGGCCGUUCACCCUCUCAGGUCGGCUACUGAUCGUCGCCUUGGUAGGCCGUUACCCCACCAACUAGCUAAUCAGACGCAGGCCCAUCCUUUGCCGAUAAAUCUUUGACCUCCUUGCCAUGUGACAAAAAAGUGUUAUGAGGUUUUAAUCAUCGUUUCCAAUGGCUAUCCCUCUGCAAAGGGCAGGUUGCCUACGCGUUACUCACCCGUCCGCCGCUCUCCAUCCCCUCUUUCGACCGAAGUUUCAAUUAGGAAUUUCCCGCUCGACUUGCAUGUGUUAGGCACGCCGCCAGCGUUCAUCCUGAGCCAGGAUCAAACUCU
rnacentral:rRNA from 1 species